rnacentral:lncRNA from 1 species
ACAAACUCUAUCCAUUCACGAUCUUCACCCUGAAUCUGUAACCUCCAUCGUUGUUAUUCACUUCAGCAACAACCACCGAAAACCACCGAAAACCGGUGGUAACCGCCACCUACAACAACUACCACGCAACAACAUUCUUCAUUCAACCAAGCCACAACUCAACCAAAUAUUUUUCUUCCAUGUUUUUCCAUAUUCACUAACCAACAAAACCAUAUUUGCAAACUUAACUCAAAACAACAGAUGUUGCCUCUCUAAAACAAGACACAAACGCCUCUCCACGGCAACACACCAACC